UAAAGCCAUGCUUUGGUUGCUUCUGAUGUC
rnacentral:piRNA from 1 species